CGGUGCUGAGGGUAGGUUUCAGGUUCAUCGCACACCUCUGGUAACACUGACAGCAGACAGUGAGAGCAUUGAAAGCAGAGAGACCCUCCCCCUCAUAAAGGCCGCUGUCAUAAACACUUCUUGUCGUCAGGCGUUGUGUGGCGGUCCUGAGACGGUUGCCAGGCAACCUGCACUGCAUUGAUAUGCCAGUUGGAGGAAAUCAGGGGAAGCCUUCUGCCUCUGGAGCAUCAGUGCUGGGCGGUGCGACUCCCACCAAACACGAGCGCUCUCGUCUGUCUGAGAACACACGCUCAAGGCUUUGCAGCUCAAAACAUCACUUAACGUCCCAGUUUUGAUCAUCUUUCUAACCUCGGAGAAGCAGAGCGAGGUCAGGAACUCUCUGAACACCUCAAGUUUAGGACUGAGAAUCCAAGAAAAGAGCUCAUGGAGUUGGUUUACGGGGCUUUAGCUAAUUAAAAAGAGCUAACUGAAGCACCCUCUCUCAUCUGUUCAUCCACACUAGAACAAAGAGAGAGAGAGUGUUUUGCACGAGGAGCUCAUGACAGCUCAACUCGGGAACAAGUGAGAUGAAACUGGGCAGGAAAACACUGGAGCGCCGCGAGAAAACACAGCCUAUCUCCGUUAAUCUGGAACUCCCUCCCAGCUAAAGGAUGAUGGGAUACAGCCAGGGAUGUGUGUGUGUUUCAGAAAGACGGUCCCGCUCAGCAUGUCCAAUGCUAUGUUCCUCCUGAUGCUGUGCAAGAUUGGUGUGAGAGCAAAACUGCAGACUUCUCCGAGGAAAAUGCUAAACACUGCUCUGAGUGAUGAGGAGAAGGGCAUCCAAGACAAGGAAAGCAAGGAAGAGUCCAUUCUGGCCAUGCUGGGAAUCAUUGGGACGAUCCUCAACCUCGUCGUCAUCAUCUUCGUCUACAUCUACACCACCCUGUGAGAUCCACUGGGACUAUGAUUGGCAGUGAGAUUCUGGCACGGAAAAACCAGGCCGUUCCACCAGGGGACCGUGAGAAUACAGACACUGCUGCGACAGAGUCACACCACCGGAGGGAAAAACACAGAGAACAGAUUCCCUUCAAACACAGACCAUACCAGGAAGCGCAUAAGCUGUAAAUAUGCACGUUACUUCCAUAUUCCCAUCCGUCCCGGAUCCAGCGAAACAGGAGCGUUUCUCUGCACGGCUCAGUCCACAGGACGCUCUCAUUCAGAUCCAACGGCUUUUUUUAAUAGUAAACAUACUAUGAUGUUUCUUACAAACUUUUGCAGGCGACACUUUCAGGUUUAUACUGUAUUUAAAACACUGCUGUUUACAAUAAAUAGCUUAUUAUUAGACACGAGCUUUGAAAUAGAUCUUGAUAUAGACUGAAUUUUGUCAUGAGCAUUUUAAUGUGCAGCAUUCUAAAACGUGUCGCUGGGCUAGUUCUGCAGUGCAUUUAAUUGAAUUAUUUAACUCUUUAUUUAGUUGUGCAAUGCUUAUUGGCAGAUAUUGUUCAGUACUGUUUUGUGCGGGUCUAAGCAGUUUUAGGACACGUGGGGUUAUUUAUUGAAAAUUAUUUUCCAUCAAGGUGUUUCUUAUGUAUGUGGAUUUAAAAAUAUUACUGUUUCCCAUAGUUUUGAGAGAAUGGGAGACAGACGUGCAGACAGUGUUGCCUUAAGAAUGAUCCACACAUUCAUAUCUCCAUCAUUUCAGAUCAUAUGUAGUUGCUUACUGAUGCACAGAAGCACAUCAUUUUACAAAUCAUUUCAUUUCAUGCUUUAUCGCACAAGAAUAUUUGCAGAUUGAAUGAAUGUACAUUACGUCAGUGAAGUAGAUUUCUGACAAUAAGACAAAGUAUAUGAAAUCUAGAUAUCAGUGCAUAAAGUGCCUGUAUUUCUGCAAGGUACAGUAUUCUCAGACGUUAAAGGAGUCUCCAAAUUAUGUUCGCAUUGGAUUUGAGUUGACUUUAAUUUCAUAUCUACAGGGACAGAACGGUUCAGCAUUACAGUAAUACUCCUUUGAACAUGGGCGAGCUUGUCUAAAACUCUUUUAUGUAUUCGAACAUGUAAUAUUGCUUCUGCUGAUUUAGUAAAGAUUGAUACAAUUAUUAAAAAAAAUGUUCUUGUUCAUUUCGUCAUUCAGAUGAAAAGACAAAGUCAAACACUUUAAAUCCACUGUGCGGGUCGGCUGUAGCUAUCUGCAUUUUGUGUAAUUAUGGGAUGGACAUUAUGCAUGGUUGCCUAGCGACACAUAGUUAAUAGAGCAAUUUCCAAAAAAGUUGAGCCUUGCUGCCCUGUUUGAGCUGGAGGACUUGAUUUCUGAACACCAUGAUGCAGUGAGUUUCAAUGUUUUAAUGCAAGGAUGAAGUCAUUAAAGUUGUGUGACUGUCAAAUCCAAAAAGAACAGACCACAACAAACCACUUCAUGUCAUGCACGUGUCAAAAUAAUUAGGGACUUUUAAAGGUGUGCUGGAAUAAAGCUUUUCAGAGAAAAAGACAGACAGAGGCGAGAAGUCUAAAAGCAGUGGAGCGAGUAAACAAUGUGUUCUGAAGAUUCACAGCUGCAGAGAUACAAAUGAGCCCAGGAGCCUUUUUCUCAGGCUUUGUUUUACCUGGACAGAGAGCGUCCAGAUGCCAAACAGACAGAAAACCUUCAAAGUCCUCCUUCUGCAGAGGCUUUCUCGAAAAACAACUGAUGAGACUAUUGUUAUCAUCAACUAACGACUGAAUCAAAAACUUUGCUAAACUGUUUCUGCAAGACUUUCAC
ensembl:lncRNA